rnacentral:rRNA from 1 species
GACGAACCGUGCGAACGUUAUUCGGAAUCACUGGGCUUAAAGGGCGCGUAGGCGGGCGGUCAAGUCAGAGGUGAAAUCCCACGGCUCAACCGUGGAAGUGCCCCUGAUACUGGCUGUCUGGAGGGAGGUAGGGGCGGUGCGGAACUUCCGGUGGAGCGGUGAAAUGCGUAGAUAUCGGAAGGAACACCGGUGGCGAAAGCGGCGCGCUGGACCUCUACUGACGCUGAGGCGCGAAAGCCAGGGGAGCAAACGGG